rnacentral:rRNA from 1 species
GGAGGGUGCGAGCGUUAAUCGGAAUUACUGGGCGUAAAGCGCGCGUAGGCGGCCUGAUCAGUCGGAUGUGAAAGCCCUGGGCUUAACCUGGGAAUUGCACUCGAUACUGUCAGGCUAGAGUAUGGGAGAGGGAAGUGGAAUCUCCGGUGUAGCGGUGAAAUGCGUAGAUAUCGGAAGGAACACCAGUGGCGAAGGCGACUUCCUGGCCCAAUACUGACGCUCAGGUGCGAAAGCGUGGGGGUAGCGAACAGGAUUAGAUACCCUGGUAGUCCACGCCGUAAACGAUGAGAACUAGAUGUCGGGAGGAUUUACCUCUCGGUGUCGCAGCUAACGCGUUAAGUUCUCCGCCUGGGAGUACGCCGGCAACGGUA